UGAUCUAGUCUCAGGAUUCAAGUGAAGCCUAAAUAUCUGUAUCGGGUAAGUUUAAAUAUCUAGUCUCAGGGUUCAAGUGAAGCCUCACCUUCUGUAUAAGGUAAGUUUAGUAAUCUAGACUCAGGGUUCAAGUGAAGCCUCACCUUCUGUAUAAGGUAAGUUUAGUAAUCUAGACUCAGGGUUCAAGUGAAGCCUCACCUUCUGUAAAGGUAAGUUUAGUAAUCUAGACUCAGGGUUCAAGUGAAGCCUCACCUUCUGUAUAAGGUAAGUUUAGUAAUCUAGUCUCAGGGUUCAAGUGAAGCCUCACCUUCUGUAUAAGGUAAGUUUAGUAAUCUAGACUCAGGGUUCAAGUGAAGCCUCACCUUCUGUAUAAGGUAAGUUUAGUGAUCUAGACUCAGGGUUCAAGUGAAGCCUUAUUUUCUG